rnacentral:rRNA from 1 species
AGGACGAACGCUGGCGGCGUGCUUAACACAUGCAAGUCAAGGGGGCCCAGCAAUGGGCAACCGGCGAACGGGUGCGUAACACGUGAGCAACCUACCGAAAUGUGGGGGAUAGCCGGCCUAACGGCCGAGUAAUACCGCAUACGCUCUCGAUGAGGCAUUUCAUUGAGAGGAAACCUACGGGACAUUUCGAGGGGCUCGCGGCCUAUCAGCUAGUCGGAGAGGUAACGGCUCACCAAGGCAACGACGGGUAGC